rnacentral:rRNA from 1 species
AGAAUCAACGCUGGCGGCGUGCCUAACACAUGCAAGUCGAACGAGAAAGUGGAGCAAUCCAUGAGUAAAGUGGCGCACGGGUGAGUAACACGUGACUAACCUACCCUUGAGUGGGGGAUAACCUAGAGAAAUCUGGGCUAAUACCGCAUAAUACCUUCGGGUCAAAGGAGCAAUUCGCUUAAGGAGGGGGUCGCGGCCGAUUAGUUAGUUGGCGGGGUAAUGGCCCACCAAGACUAUGAUCGGUAUCCGGCCUGAGAGGGCGCACGGACACACUGGAACUGAAACACGGUCCAGACUCCUACGGGAGGCAGCAGUGGGGAAUUUUGGACAAUGGGGGAAACCCUGAUCCAGCCAUGCCGCGUGAGUGAUGAAGGCCUUCGGGUUGUAAAACUCUUUCGACGGGACGAUAAUGACGGUACCCGUAGAAGAAGCUCCGGCUAACUUCGCGCCAGCAGCCGC